UUUUGAGUUCCAAUCAAUCAAAUAGGGCACUUCUAUCGGACGCUACAAACCAACUGUUGUAGAAUCCAUAUAAAAGUCGAUUCUGUAUAUUAACAAAGUCAGCAGAGGAAUAGUGUCCAGUCAAACUUAAAGACAGUCGAAUAUCUGAACUAAUACUUUUGAUUCCGAAGAAACAGAUAUAUAAAGUUCAUCUCGACCUGGACUACGAAAAAGACAUGUCUGGGUUACUGGCAUGGAGGUUUGCUGUAGUUCUUAUCGUAUUGAGUAUUUUUGUUGACGACAGUCAUGUGGAGGCAUGGAGGAGACGACGAAAAGCAUAUAAGCCUCCGCCUUCCCAAUGUCAUGGUUGUAGUGGAAAGACAUGUGCAUAUUAUUAUGGCAAACACAAAUGGAUUCAAUUAAGAUCAUGCAAAAAAUGUGGUUCUGGCUGUAGGUGCAAAUACAGUUAUAGUAUAGGAAACGGAAAACCACCUUACGUAUAUAWAUGUAAACCAUAAGAGAGACAUCAAGGAACCAGAUCCUGCUGACAGUCGAUGGAUGAAAUUUGUUCCAAACGUCUGCAAUAUUUAUAAAUGURAAAUAAAGAAGAGACAAAAUUUUUCUGGCUGUUUCAACAUGMAUUUUCCCAACUAAAUUAGGAUUUUCUCCCAAAUGACCGCCCGUCAUUAGCAUUGUUCUUUUUUUAGCACGGCUAUCUUUCAAUAUGACGCUAGGAACCGUGCGUCGUGCGUAAAGUAAGCUGUAAAGUAAGCMAUCAUCUUUGAAUUUUUUAAAAUGGGUUUACACAUCCAUGUGCCAUAAUGUAGAAUCCUACAUGCUAUAAGGGUUGUCCAUUAUUUUCACUAUUUUUGUGAAAGGUCUGGUGAAGGUGAUACGUAUUUUUAAUCCCAUUACAAUUGAAGUAAAUUUCUUUCAUCGAAUUCUCUCAAUGUUAUGUAAAAUUGCUCUUCAAAAACUKAAUAAAACWUGUCCACUUCUGCA